GGGCGCUUGGUUUAGGGGUAUAACGUUCGCUUAGCAGUCCACCAUACAGCUGCGAACGGUCCUGGGUUCGAUUCCCAGAGCGUCCA